GGCAGCACGAUGUAGCAAUACAUUGGUGGCGACCGGCGCACGGGUGAGUAACGCGUAUGCAACCUACCUAUCGGAGGGGAAUAACCCGGCGAAAGUCGGACUAAUACCGCAUAAAACAGGGGUUCCACAUGGAAAUAUUUGUUAAAGAAUUAUCGCUGAUAGAUGGGCAUGCGUUCCAUUAGAUAGUUGGUGAGGUAACGGCUCACCAAGUCCACGAUGGAUAGGGGUUCUGAGAGGAAGGUCCCCCACACUGGUACUGAGACACGGACCAGACUCCUACGGGAGGCAGCAGUGAGGAAUAUUGGUCAAUGGGCGAGAGCCUGAACCAGCCGAGUCGCGUGAAGGAUGAAGGAUCUAUGGUUUGUAAACUUCUUUUAUAUGGGAAUAAAGUGAGGAACGUGUUCCUUUUUGUAUGUACCAUAUGAAUAAGCAUCGGCUAACUCCGUGCCAGCAGCCGCGGUAAUACGGAGGAUGCGAGCGUUAUCCGGAUUUAUUGGGUUUAAAGGGUGCGUAGGUGGUUAAUUAAGUCAGCGGUGAAAGUUUGUGGCUCAACCAUAAAAUUGCCGUUGAAACUGGUUGACUUGAGUAUAUUUGAGGUAGGCGGAAUGCGUGGUGUAGCG
rnacentral:rRNA from 1 species